rnacentral:sRNA from 1 species
UUGUCUUCAAUGGGAGCAGGGUCAGCACAACUAUAACCCAGGCACCAGCAGUGCAAGCUUUCAUACUCAGUUCCCUCCAGUGUGUCUCAUCCUUAUUCUGGAGGGACCACCAGUGGGAGGUUAAUUUAUUCUCCAUGCCCAUUCAAUUCUAGGGCAGGU